rnacentral:lncRNA from 1 species
CCUGCAUUCUAUCAGAUCAUAAUGGAAUGAAAUUAGAUAUCAAUGAUAAAAUAAAACAUAGAAGCUACUUUAACACCUGGUGACUAGGUAAUAUGAUAUUAAAUCACCAAUGGAUAGCAGAAGAAAUCAGAGGAGAAACAAAAAAUACUUAGUGGUAAGUGAGAAUAGUGACAUGGUAUAUCAAAAUCUCUGGAAACUGUGGAGGUUGUUCUAAGAGGAAAGUUGGUUGCAUGAAACUCAUUCAUUAAAAGAAUACAAAGUCACGUGCGCGCGCACACACACACAAAGCCUAACAUAGGUCUAGAUAGAUAAGACUAUCUAAAGCAGGAGAAGAGAGGAAAUAAUUAAAACCAGCCAAAGUUGAUGAAAUUGAAACAAAAUAUAAAUAUCAAUGAAACAAAAAGUUGACUCUUGGGGGAAAAAAAAGCAAAAUUGAUAAACCCUUAGCCAAGUUAGCCAAGAGAAUGAGGGAAAUUUUUUAAAUUACUAAAACCAUGACAAAGAAGGAAGUAUCAUCAUGGACAUUAUUGAAAUACCAAAGAGAAUGAAAACCUAUUCUGAAAAUUUGUAUUUCAAUAAAAUAGAGAAUCUUGAAGACUUCAACAAAUUCCUAACCCUAACCCUAACUUACACUCCAUGUAUGUAUAAUAUGUAAAAAUACACUACUGUCAUAUAUAGCUG